UAGUAGCUUUCUACAUCUCCGCUCAGCAUGGGGAUAAAAUCAUCAUCUUUUUACACUACGUGAUGGGACAGAUCAUGGAAAGUCAGAAGAAUCUUAACACUGAACUGCCGAUAUUAAUCAGCCAUAUGUGAACAACACAAGAGUUCAGCAAUCAAUCAGCAAUCAACCAAAAUCUACCACAGAAACAAAGAAAACAGAGUCAGAAUAAGUGAAGAAAGAAGGGGGAAAAAACCAUCAUUGUCUCUGUGUCCUUUUUCAACAUGGUUUUGAGUUUCUGGAACUGUGUCACUGCCAACGAGUUUAUUGGAAUUGUUCACAGAUGUCUGAGCACAGGUGCUGGGAUGGAAGACCAAGAAAAACAAAUGGACAAAUAAAGUGCCCCAAAAGAAUAUUGAGUUCUAUGAAAAAGGAUCAAGAAGUAAAGUCAUUGAGGCAGGAAUCAGCAGUUGCUAAGCCAGAGAGAACUUUCAAGCCAAGACAGAUCAGAUGCUUCCAAAGGCCAUCAUGGCAAUUGACUUAA